GAAAUGCGAUAAGUAAUGUGAAUUGCAGAAUUCAGUGAAUCGUCGAAUCUUUGAACGCACAUUUCGCCCGCCAGUAUUCUGGCGGGCAUGCCUGUCCGAGCGUCAUUUCAACCAUCAAGCCCCCGGGCUUGUGUUGGGGACCUGCGGCUGCCCGCAGGCCCUGAAAACCAGUGGCGGGCUCGCUGUCACACCGAGCGUAGUAGCAAUCACCUCGCUCAGGGCGUGCUGCGGGUUCCGGCCGUUAAACAGCCUUACAAAACCCAAGGUUGACCUCGGAUCAGGUAGGAAGACCCGCUGACCUUCAGC
rnacentral:misc_RNA from 1 species